rnacentral:tRNA from 1 species
GGGUCGUUAGCUCAGUUGGUAGAGCAGCGGACUUUUAAUCCGUUGGUCGGGCGUUCGAGCCGCCCACGGCCUA